GUCCUAAUGCCACUACAAUCCCAGUUGCUGGAAUAGCAACCAAGCAUUGGACAUUCACUCAAUUUGGAACCAUUUUCAUCACCGAUGAGCCUAUAACUGAAACCCCUGACCCCAAUUCUGCUCCGGUCGGCCGUGCCCAAGGACUCUUUGCGACGACAGGUUUGGAUGGAUUAAACGCUCAUGUAAUGGUAUCCAUUGUGUUCACUAAUGAAGCCUAUGGUGGAAGCACUUUACAGAUUCAAGGUGCUAGUAAGCAAUUUGAGGGCGUUAGAGAGGUUUCUAUAGUGUCUGGGACAGGGCUUUUCAGGUAUGCAAGAGGAUAUGCAACAUUUGAGACAUAUUAUUUGGAUAUUCCUGCUGCUUACUCGGUUAUUAGGUGCAACAUUUCAGUGCUUUAUUACUCUCAAUGUGGAUUGCAGUCUCAGUUCUCAUUUCAUCAGAUUUAGCAACAUAAAUUGUAACAUAUUGGAGUCGUUGCAAGGUAUUGCAUUAAAAUAAUAUUCAGAGUCCAAUCAAU
rnacentral:misc_RNA from 1 species